GAGCGUUCUAAGGGCUGUGAAGCCAGACCGGAAGGACUGGUGGAGCGCUUAGAAGUGAGAGUGCCGGUACGAGUAGCGAAAGAGGGGUGAGAAUCCCCUCCACCGAAUGCCUAAGGUUUCCUGAGGAAGGCUCGUCCGCUCAGGGUUAGUCGGGACCUAAGCCGAGGCCGAAAGGCGUAGGCGAUGGACAACAGGUUGAUAUUCCUGUACCACCUCCUCACCAUUUGAGCAAAGGGGGGACGCAGGAGGAUAGGGUAAGCGCGGUAUUGGAUAUCCGCGUCCAAGCAGUUAGGCUGGGAAAUAGGCAAAUCCGUUUCCCAUAAGGCUGAGCUGUGAUGGCGAGCGAAAUAUUGUAGCGAAGUUCCUGAUUCCACACUGCCAAGAAAAGCCUCUAGCGAGGUGAGAGGUGCCCGUACCGCAAACCGACACAGGUAGGCGAGGAGAGAACCCUAAGGUGAUCGAGAGAACUCUCGUUAAGGAACUCGGCAAAAUGACCCCGUAACUUCGGGAGAAGGGGUGCUCUGUUAGGGUGCAAGCCCGAGAGAGCCGCAGUGAAUAGGCCCAGGCGACUGUUUAGCAAAAACACAGGUCUCUGCGAAGCCGUAAGGCGAAGUAUAGGGGCUGACGCCUGCCCGGUGCUGGAAGGUUAAGAGGAGCGCUUAGCGUAAGCGAAGGUGCGAAUUGAAGCCCCAGUAAACGGCGGCCGUAACGAUAACGGUCCUAAGGUAGCGAAAUUCCUUGUCGGGUAAGUUCCGACCCGCACGAAAGGCGCAACGAUCUGGGCACUGUCUCAACGAGAGACUCGGUGAAAUUAUAGUACCUGUGAAGAUGCAGGUUACCCGCGACAGGACGGAAAGACCCCGUGGAGCUUUACUGCAGCCUGAUAUUGAAUGUUGGUACAGCUUGUACAGGAUAGGUAGGAGCCUUGGAAACCGGAGCGCCAGCUUCGGUGGAGGCAUCGGUGGGAUACUACCCUGGCUGUAUUGACCUUCUAACCCGCCGCCCUUAUCGGGCGGGGAGACAGUGUCAGGUGGGCAGUUUGACUGGGGCGGUCGCCUCCUAAAAGGUAACGGAGGCGCCCAAAGGUUCCCUCAGAAUGGUUGGAAAUCAUUCGCAGAGUGUAAAGGCACAAGGGAGCUUGACUGCGAGACCUACAAGUCGAGCAGGGACGAAAGUCGGGCUUAGUGAUCCGGUGGUUCCGCAUGGAAGGGCCAUCGCUCAACGGAUAAAAGCUACCCCGGGGAUAACAGGCUUAUCUCCCCCAAGAGUCCACAUCGACGGGGAGGUUUGGCACCUCGAUGUCGGCUCAUCGCAUCCUGGGGCUGUAGUCGGUCCCAAGGGUUGGGCUGUUCGCCCAUUAAAGCGGUACGCGAGCUGGGUUCAGAACGUCGUGAGACAGUUCGGUCCCUAUCCGUCGCGGGCGCAGGAAAUUUGAGAGGAGCUGUCCUUAGUACGAGAGGACCGGGAUGGACGCACCGCUGGUGUACCAGUUGUUCUGCCAAGGGCAUCGCUGGGUAGCUAUGUGCGGACGGGAUAAGUGCUGAAAGCAUCUAAGCAUGAAGCCCCCCUCAAGAUGAGAUUUCCCAUUCCGCAAGGAAGUAAGAUCCCUGAAAGAUGAUCAGGUUGAUAGGUCUGAGGUGGAAGUGUGGCGACACAUGGAGCUGACAGAUACUAAUCGA
rnacentral:rRNA from 1 species